AACCUUAUGGACCUGCGGGCGUAUACCUGCGGAAGGAUCAUUAUCAAAACAGCGGCCUUCGGGCCUUGCUGCACCCUUGUCUUUUGCGCACCGUAUUGUUUCCUCGGCGGGCUUGCCUGCCGGUUGGACAUUAUCAAACCUUCUUGUAGUUGCAAUCAGCGUCAGAAAAACAAUAAUUAUUACAACUUUUAACAACGGAUCU
rnacentral:misc_RNA from 1 species